AGAUCGCACCACUGCACUCCAGCCUGGGCGACAGAACCAGACUCCGUCUCAAAAAAAAAAAGAAGCGGAAUGGGCCAGGCGCGGUGGCUCACGCCUGUGAUCCCAGCACUUUGGCAGGCAAAGGUGGGCGGAUUGUCUGAGGUCGGGAGUUCUAGACCAGCCUGACCAACAUGGGGAAACCCCGUAUCUACUAAAAAAAAUACAAAAUUAGCCGGGCGUGGUGGCGCAUGACUGUAAUCCCAGCUACUUGGGAGGCUGAGGCAGAAUUGCUUGAACCAGGAGGCGGAGGUUGCAGUGAGCCAAGAUCGCACCAUUGCACUCCAGCGUGGGCAACAAGAGCGAGACUCCAUCUCAAAAGAAAAAAAAAAAGGGAAUGAACAUGUGUCUGUGAAUGUCUUUGCUUCUGUAUGUACAGAAUCUUUUUACAAAGACACAUAAGAAACAAGCAAUGUUGGCUGCUGGAGAGUAAGACUGUGUGGCCAAGGCAGGGAAGGGGCAUUCCAUUGUAUACUGUCUUGUGCCUUUUGAAUUUCCUAACAUAUGAAUGUAUUAGCUAUUCAGAAUAGUCUCCUGAUGAAGACAUAAAGACCUCUCUGAGCCAGGUGUGGUGGCUUGAGCCUGUAAUCGCAGCUACUUGGAAAGCUGAAGCAGGAGGAUCACUUGAGGUCAGGAGUUCAAGACCAGCCUGGGCAAAACAGCAAAACCCUGUCCUUUAAAUAAAUAAAGCAAGACUCCAUUUCAUAAAUAAAUAGAUAAAUAGAUAGAUAAGCCUCUCUGGCUGCAAAGAAAAGGCACAGUUUUAUUCCCAAGAUUCUUUUUUUUUUUUUGAGACUGGGUCUUACCCCCAUUGGCCAGACUGGUGUGCACUGGCACCAUCUCAGCUAACUGCAGCCUUGACUUCCCUGGCUUGGGUGAUUCUCCCACCUCAGCCUCCCAAGUAGCUGGGACUACAGGUAUGCGCCACCAUGACCAGCUAGUUUUUUGUAUUAUUUUUUAGUAGAGACGGGGUUUUGCCAUGUUGCCCAGGAUGGUCUCGAACUCUUGGACUCAAACAAUCCACCUGCCUUGGCCUCCCAAAGUGCUGAGAUUACAGGCAUGAGCGACUGCGCCUGGCUAAGAAGAUUCUAAAAACUCAGGAGUUGGAGGUACCUGGUACUUCUGGCCAUGCAGAUGAAUGAGCAGGGCACCAGCCAGGCUGGAGAGGCUGUUUCAGAAGCAGAUGCUGGGCAGGGCUGCUGCUGUGGGCUCUGCACAGAAUUCUGAGCCAACAGUAUGCACUGCCAUGACUGACUUCUGGAUUUCUUCUCCUAUCCUGGCGGAAGGCUAUGUUAAGGGUGAGAAACCGUACUGAGAAAGUCAGGGUUAUUAGGUAAACAGUCCCAUUGGAUGCUGAGAUGUCAAUUUCUCUCCCAAGGAUGCUGGCAGGAGGCUGAAGUUACCUUCUUGUAGGAUUCAGACGAUGGAACGAAACAUGCUUACGGUGGAGAGUGCCCCCAAACUGGCCUAGCCACAUUGCCCUAUGGAUCUGUUUGCAGCAUCCACUCAUACUCAAGCUGCUUGCUCAUAUACCCUAAGAAAAGGGUCUCCUUGGGGAUUGGGGUUCCCCCAUUUCCCCUUCCAGCCAGUAAGCCCCACAUCUACCUGCUCAGAGCUGUCAGCCAGAUUUGUGGUGCCUCUCUCUUGCAUAUAAGCCAACAACUAGGAGAGAAUAGAAAUCACACUGUUUUUUUUAAAAAAGUUACUGCUGUUCUCAGAGAAAUAAGGAAAGACAUUGUAAAUGAAAGAACAGGAGGCAGCUAAAAAGAUGAACAUUCAGAGAAUGAAAACACUCUUGGAAAUUAAAAACAUGCCACAAGAGACCAGAUGAAGUAGCUCAUGCCUGUAAUCCCAGCACUCUGGGAGGCCGAGGUGGGAGGAGCACUUGAGGCCAGGAAUUUAAGACCAGCCCUGGCAACAUAGUGAGAACCUGUUUCUACAAAAAAAUAAAAAAAUUAAACAUGAGCCAGGUACAGUGACACAUGCCUGCAGUCCCAGAUACUUGGGAGGCUGAGGUGAGAGGAUCACUUGAGCCCAGGAGUUCGAGGUUACAGGGAGCUAUGAUGGCACCACUGUGCUCUAGUCUGUGUGAAACAGUGAGACCCCCCCCUCCACCGCAAAAAAAAAGCUACCAGAAAUGAAAAUCUUAACAGAAGGUCUGAAAGAUACAAAUGAGAAAAUUUCCAGGAAAAUAGAGUAGAAAGACAAAGGAAUGGAAAAUUGGAGUGAAAAGAUAAGAACAUUAAAGGACCCAUCCCAGAUGCCAACAGCCAAGUAACAGGCAUCCCAGAAACGGAGCAGAGCAAUAGAAGGGAAGGAAAUGAAAUAAACAUUUCAAGGCAGUUUCCCAGAACUGACAGAUGUGAAUUUCAAACUGAAAAGGCUCACUAACAAUAGUGAUAAAAAAAGGUCUGUGACUGUAUUAAUAAAAAGAAUUCUUCCAGCCAAACUUCAAUCUAAUGUUGAGGGCUAGACAAUGUGUUUCAGAUAUGGGACAUGUCAGAAUUUUAUCUUCCACACCAGAACACCCAGAAAGCUCCACCAAAACAAAGGUGUGAACUAAGAAAGAGGAGACCCUGGGUCUCAGGAACAGGAAGGAACAGAACAGAAGAUGGGGUAUAGGGGGAGCCUGGAUGAUGCCAGACAAAGGUGGUGGCUGAGAGGUAGAUGGCAGGGGGCCUCUGGUCCGUAAUGCCUGGAUGAUUGGGCAGGAUCCCUAUCCUUUGUCAAGAUCCCUCCUGCCCACCUGCUCGUCUACUAACCUGCUGUCCUUGUUAGGUCCCAGCCCUACCUGUCCUGAUGCCUGACCAGCAGGAUGCAAGCCCAGGAGGCCAUCCAAGAUACCAGGACUGGGAGAGAAUGCCCAGUGGUGAUUCCUGCAUAGUCCUAGGAGGUGUCUUGGGCCCAGGCUCUGGAGUUGGAGGCUCAGUUUGAGCCUUGCACAGGGUCUCUGUUGCAGGUGGCCACUUCUGUACCACAAGGGAUAACGUGUGUCUGGCAAAGCGUGGUGCUACCCAGGGUGAGGCCGAGCUGGAUGAUGCUCCAGUCCUGAACCCCACUCAUGGACACUCACUCACCCAUCUCCGAGGUCCGCCUGGCUCCCGGCGCAGCCCAUCUACUAGGGCAGCAGCCUCCUCGGGGCUGCCUGGCCGCUGCCCCUGCACACAGGCCUGGAUCUCAGGGGGCAGUGCGCCCAGGAACUGCUCCAGCACCAACAGCUCCAGCAUCUGCUCCUUGGAGCGUACCUCUGGACGCAGCCACUGGCGACACAGCUCUCGGAGCUGGGCCAGGGCCUCUUGGGGCCCUGUGGCCUCCUCAUAGCGGAAGCACCGGAAACGCAGGCGUGCAGCUUCAGGGCCUGGGUCCCAUAGGGCAGCCUCACCCUCCUCCUCAGAGUCCUCUAGCUUCACCAUGACAGGCCCCUCAUCUUCUGGGGGUGCUCGGUCUGGGGAGCCCAGCACCGCUGGCCUCAUAGAGGGUACCAGGUCAGGUAUCUGAGGCCAGUGUCUGCCCCUGGUGAAGAAAUAGGAUGAGGCUGUUGCAACAGGAAUAAACAGUGAAUGCUUCA